UACGUAGGGUGCAAGCGUUGUCCGGAAUUAUUGGGCGUAAAGAGCUCGUAGGCGGUUUGUUGCGUCGGCUGUGAAAUCCCGAGGCUCAACCUCGGGUCUGCAGUCGAUACGAGCAAACUAGAGUGUUGCAGGGGAGACUGGAAUUCCUGGUGUAGCGGUGAAAUGCGUAGAUAUCUGGAGGAACACCGGUGGCGAAGGCGGCAUCCUGGACCGACACUGACGCUGAGGCGCGAAAGCUAGGGUAGCAAACGGG
rnacentral:rRNA from 1 species